GACGAACGCUGGCGGCGUGCCUAAUACAUGCAAGUCGAACGCUGAAGGGAGGAUCUUGCUCUUCUUGGGUGAGUUGCGAACGGGUGAGUAACGCGUAUGUAACCUGCCUUGUAGCGGGGGAUAACUAUUGGAAACGAUAUCUAAUACCGCAUAAGAUGGAUUAUCGCAUGAUAAUCCAUUGAAAGGUGCAAAUGCAUCACUACCAUAUGGACCUGCAUUGUAUGAGCUAGUGGGUUGGGUAACCGCUCACCAAGGCGAAGAUACAUAGCCGACCUGAGAGGGUGGUCGGCCAAAAUGGGAACGAGAAACGGCCCAGACUCCUUAGGGAAGGAGCAGUAGGGAAACAUCGGAAAUGGACGGAAGUCUGACCGAACAACGCCGGGGGAGUGAAGAAAGUUCUCGGAUCGUUAAGGUAUGUUGUAAGAGGAGAAAGAGUGUGAGAGUGGAAAGUUCACACUGUGACGGUACCUUAACAGAAAGCAACGGCUAACUACGUG
rnacentral:rRNA from 1 species